CAGAUGAGGAACAGGCUCAGAGAGGCUCAGUGACUUGCCCAAAACCAUAGAGCUGGUACCUGCUGGAGCCAAAAUACAAAGCCUCUGCCCCUCCCCUGCCCACGUGGACUCAGUUUGGGCUCCUUGGGACUUUCCUGUCUCUUUCCUAAUGUUCCUUCCCCAGAACUUGGGUAGGUUUCCAACUGUCCUACCACCCAGUUCCCAUCAGGAAGAGAUCGCAGCUACUGGUUCUUUCCCUACAGCCCCCGUCAUCCCAUUCCAGAGCGGGACGAAGCCCUCAGACUCUCACUCUAACGCAAGCACCAGCAGAGGCUGUUCUGGAUGGGGAGCUCCAGAGGACGACUUUCUCAGUGCCAGACUUUCCUGCUCUCCUUUGCCUGGGCAGUAAAGUCACCAUCACUUCUCCUGACCAUGCUCCCUUCAUAGAGACCCCUCCCGCACCACCCUGGAGGCCAUGACUGCACCUAGCUGUCCAUUAUCCUUGUUGCCUGGACCCAGGAGGACCAAAAGCAUGGGGUGGGGUGGGGAGGCCGAUGUUUUCAAUUGGUCACUCUCUCUUGAGACUGAGACAGAUUCAACGGGCCCUUCACCUGGAGCUCUCAGAGUAUGAGGCUGAAACAGCCUAAUUUGAUUGGGCUUGUGAUAGAGGACGUUGAGGGGAGGGAGAGAAGACACAGGCACAGAGAAGCAAACAAGGGAGACCUUGCAGAGCCAGAAAGAGGGGGUGUGCAUGAGCACAAAACAAACAAACAAAAAAAAGAAACUUGGUCCCUGCCUUUGCAGUCCCCAAAUCCUCCUGAGGUCUCCCACCCUUCCUGUCCUUAAGCUCUGUGAAAGCUGCCAGCCUUCUUCCAAUAAAUUCCUUUCUUGAAA